rnacentral:lncRNA from 1 species
GCGAUAUUAUACGUACAGCAACCUAUACAAGUUUUGAAUCCUUCCGAAUUUUCAUUGGCACUAAUUCCUUAACCAGAGUCAAUUGCAAAAUGUAGCAGCAUUAACAGCAACAUGUACAAGUUGUGAAUCCGUUCGAGCUUUGUUUGACGCUAAUUCCUUCACCGGGUCACUCGCAAAAUGUAGCGACAUUAUACAUACAGCAACAUAUACAAGUUAGGCAAGAAUAGGGCUUGUUUCGUUCAAAAGAAAAUUAUCCCAAAAUCAAUAUAUUAAACUUAUAACCAAGAUUAUGGUCAGGAUUAUAAUCCCCCCUAUAUAUGUGUAGAUAUAUGAUAGUAUUAAAAAGAUUUAAUAUAAAAUUUAUAUAGCAACAUGAACUAAUACCAAUAAACAAACGGUAAAUAAAUACAAUCUCAAAUUAAUUAUCAACUAGUAUCUUAAUCUAAACGACCCUUUGUUAAAAAUUAGCACUCCACUACCUUCCUUCCAAAACCUAGUUAUUAGGUUAGGUUGAUGUUACUACCGCCGCAAGAUAUAGUUAAGCUAGUGAAAUAUAAUAAAAUGUCCUUUGACAGAAUUGUUACAUAAUAGAGUUAUCAGCUUAUAACGCUUCUAUUUGCACAAAAAUCUAGUCUAGAACGAAAAGGACAAGUAUCAGACACCGAGCAAAGUCAGAGCCUUUUAACCAUUCUAUAAUGCAAUUAGUUAUUAACCCUAAAUUACCAAGAAAAAAAUUAUCGAACUGGUUAUUAAAGCAAGACUAUGGACUGAUAAUUAAAAGCAUAUAUUUUCCUUAAAGCAAACUAGAAAAGAACAUACCAAAGCUGUUCUUAACCAAACAUAAACAAUUUAAUAUAUAUACUUGUUUUGUUACAAGGAAGAUAAAAGUUAAAACUAUUUCCCUAUUUAUACAACUGCAAAAAAACAGAUGCAAAAAUGUUUUCUUCUGCAUCUCAAAUCUGGACAAAGAGUAAAGCUGCUGGGGCUGACUUUAUCUGUUCAAUCUGCUCUUUAAGAUUUUGCAAAUCCAACAAGUUGAUAAACUUUAAUUUCUUCAGAACCCUGAAAUAGGAAUUAAGAUCUACAGACCUGAAACUUAAAAAAGUCAUAAUAAACAAAUCAAAUAUUAAUAGAUUUGGCAAAUCAAACAAGGAAUGAAGUUAUACAGUAGCUACAAAUAUAUUCCAUAUUUUUUCUUCAUAUCCCAUAAAUAGAAAAGAAGAUCAGAUCUAAAGACCUGGAUAUAAAAAUCAGAUAUUAGAUCGCUACUAAUAAACAUAAAAGAAAUUAAAAACAAGAAGAAUACAAAUCUGGUCAAAUGAAUGUAGAGCUCCCUUCAAUCCAAAAAGGGAUCCAACUUAGGGUAAUGAAGCUCCUGACAUAUGCAACCCACAAACCUAUCCAAUCAAAUAAUAGAUAGGACUGAGGAAUCCAUAGGUCAGCAGCUUAAUCUUACCUGUUAGAUCCUCUGUUGGACUUCAAGGAGCUCCACUCUCAAAACCCUAAAAACAUUCUUAUAUCACAUAAACAGACAAAAAAAGUCAAACCUAAAUCCUGUCCUAAAACUGCCCAAAAACUGUAUCCAACUUCCAUCUCAUAACAACCCUAGACACAAACCUCACAUAUCAACAAAAGAAAAAAGAUCAAAACCCAGAAAACCACAAGGUUUCUUGAAUCGAUCUACAUAUAUAUACAGAUGUAUGAUACAAGAAGAAAAAAAAGACUGAGAAAAGAUAACCUAGUUGGGAAAAAAAGGGAGGAAAAAAAGACAAGGAAAGCAAUUUAGAAACAACUCAAAACAGCUAAUAAGAUGAAACAGCG